rnacentral:rRNA from 1 species
UACGGAGGGUGCGAGCGUUGUCCGGAAUCACUGGGCGUAAAGGGCGCGUAGGUGGCCCGUUAAGUGGCUGGUGAAAUCCCGCGGCUCAACUGCGGGGCUGCCGGUCAGACUGGCGAGCAGAGCACGGUAGGGGCAGAUGGAAUUCCCGGUGUAGCGGUGGAAUGCGUAGAUAUCGGGAGGAACACCAGUGGCGAAGGCGGUUACCUGGAGCUUUGCUGACGCUGAUGCGCGAAAGCGUGGGGAGCGAGUCCGG